UACGUAGGGUGCGAGCGUUGUCCGGAAUUAUUGGGCGUAAAGGGCUCGUAGGCGGUUUGUCGCGUCGGGAGUGAAAACCCAGGGCUUAACUCUGGGCUUGCUUUCGAUACGGGCAGACUAGAGGUAUGCAGGGGAGAACGGAAUUCCUGGUGUAGCGGUGAAAUGCGCAGAUAUCAGGAGGAACACCGGGUGGCGAAGGCGGUUCUCUGGGCAUUACCUGACGCUGAGGAGCGAAAGUGUGGGGAGCGAACAGG
rnacentral:rRNA from 1 species